CCAUUAGAUGUCCGGGGCCGCACGCGCGCUACACUGAAGGAAUCAGCGUGGCUUUCUCCCUGACCCGAAAGGGUUGGGAAACCCGUUGAAUCUCCUUCGUGAUAGGGAUUGGGGCUUGAAAUUGUUCCCCAUGAACGAGGAAUUCCCAGUAAGUGCGAGUCAUAAGCUCGCGUUGAUUACGUCCCUGCCCUUUGUACACACCGCCCGUCGCUACUACCGAUUGAACGGUUUAGUGAGGGCCUCGGAUUGGUCUCGGCCCGCUCUUUACCGGGCGGCGCCGUUGGUCGAGAAGACGCUCGAACUUGAUCGUUUAGAGGAAGUAAAAGUCGUAACA
rnacentral:rRNA from 1 species